AGAGUUUGAUCCUGGCUCAGGACGAACGCUGGCGGCGUGCUUAACACAUGCAAGCCGAACGAUGACGGAGGAGCUUGCUCCUCUUGAUUAGUGGCGAACGGGUGAGUAAUACGUGAGCAAUGUGCCCUUGACUCUGGGAUAAGCGCUGGAAACGGCGUCUAAUACCGGAUACGACGACGGAGGCAUCUCCUGGUCGUGGAAAGAACUUCGGUCAAGGAUCAGCUCACGGCCUAUCAGUUAGUUGGUGAGGUAAUGGCUCACCAAGACGACGACGGGUAGCCGGCCUGAGAGGGUGACCGGCCACACUGGGACUGAGACACGGCCCAGACUCCUACGGGAGGCAGCAGUGGGGAAUAUUGCACAAUGGGCGCAAGCCUGAUGCAGCAACGCCGCGUGAGGGACGAAGGCCUUCGGGUUGUAAACCUCUUUUAGCAGGGAAGAAGCGAAAGUGACGGUACCUGCAGAAAAAGCACCGGCUAACUACGUGCCAGCAGCCGCGGUAAUACGUAGGGUGCAAGCGUUGUCCGGAAUUAUUGGGCGUAAAGAGCUCGUAGGCGGUUUGUCACGUCUGCUGUGAAAACCCGAGGCUCAACCUCGGGCUUGCAGUGGGUACGGGCAGACUAGAGUGCGGUAGGGGAGAUUGGAAUUCCUGGUGUAGCGGUGGAAUGCGCAGAUAUCAGGAGGAACACCGAUGGCGAAGGCAGAUCUCUGGGCCGUAACUGACGCUGAGGAGCGAAAGCAUGGGGAGCAAACAGGCUUAGAUACCCUGGUAGUCCAUGCCGUAAACGUUGGGAACUAGAUGUGGGGACAUUCCGGUCUCCGUGUCGUAGCUAACGCAUUAAGUUCCCCGCCUGGGGAGUACGGCCGCAAGGCUAAAACUCAAAGGAAUUGACGG
rnacentral:rRNA from 1 species